AGCAGCCGCGGUAAUUCCAGCUCCAAUAGCGUAUAUUAAAGUUGUUGCAGUUAAAAAGCUCGUAGUUGAAUUUCGGGACCAAUCUGCCGGUCGUGCCUCCGGUACGCACUGGCUUUAUUGGUCUCUCCCUUCUGACGAACCAUGAUGUCAUUAAUUUGGUGUCAUGGGGAAUCAGGACUGUUACUUUGAAAAAAUUAGAGUGUUUAUAGCAGGCUCACGCUUGAAUACAUUAGCAUGGAAUAAUGAAAUAGGACGUUUGACCCUAUUUUGUUGGUUUCUAGGAUCGACGUAAUGAUUAAUAGGGAUAGUUGGGGGGCAUUAGUAUUCAAUUGUCAGAGGUGAAAUUCUUGGAUUUAUUGAAGACUAACUACUGCGAAAGCAUUUGCCAAGGAUGUUUUCAUUAAAUCAAGAACGAAAGUUAGGGGAUCGAAGACGAUCAGAUACCGUCGUAGUCUUAACCAUAAACUAUGCCGACUAGGGAUCGGAUGAUGUUAAUUUUUUCAAUGACUCAUUCAGCGCC
rnacentral:rRNA from 1 species